rnacentral:lncRNA from 1 species
GGGCAAACAACCCCGACUCCCACGCCCACACCUCAACCUUCCUCAAUCGGGGACCUUGUCCAGUUGUCAUCAGAGAUGGGAGCAGUUGCAGAGACCCACAGCUAGAAAUGUUUCAGAGAGAGAAUCUAGGAGGUCUCCACUGGGCCUUCCCCCUCAGAGAUCAGAGAACCCUACAGAAGAUCGGCAAGAAAGACACACCAGGGAGUCAGAGGGGUUGGAGGAC